rfam:Triticum aestivum genome assembly, contig: Triticum_aestivum_CS42_TGACv1_scaffold_308019_4AS
AAUGUACUCCCUUCAUCCCAAAAUUCUUGUCUUAGAUUAGUCUACAGAUGUAUCUAAUACUAAACGUGGCUUGAUACAUCCGUAUUUAGACAAAUUUAAGCAAGAAUUUUGAGACGGAGAGAGUAUGUA